AUGGGUGGAUUGAAGGAGACUAGCAGCGGCCUAAUGGGGAACCGAGACGCCUGCAAAAGCCAUGGAAAGAAAAAAUUCAAGAUACCAAGAAAAAGUUUUAGACUUUGCCGCAACGACGAGUAUGGUACCUUCCCAUUUGUCGACCGGCGCCUUCAGCUCAGGACCACAUCGUUGUAUCGUGAAUCAUACAAACGCAUCCUUUUAAGAUCAGCACUCCAGGACUACAAUGAACGCGUGAGGGACGGCAUGCUUACUUGGGAAGCUUACGAAGAGCAUCGCCUCGCCAUCGAUAGCUCAAUGCAAACUAUCAGACAUAGUAUCCAAAGAUACAAAGAGCGCCGUUUGCAGGGUGGGCUAUUUUACUUGGCAAAUAAAGUAGGCGGAAACGGGCUGACUAACCGUACACACUUGUACCACAUGCCUCUCAAGGAAGCGUUGAGGAAACAUCGACAAGAAAACAAAAGGAGGAAACAACUAUUGAAUGCUUUCAACAAUUCAAAGAAAUCAAGCAUCUUUGACACCGUCCUGCAGAGACCGUCUGUGAAAAGGCUAGUCAUGUAUACAGUGUCUUCCCUUGUAUUGGGUUGUGUUAUAAUUUUUCUAUGA
rnacentral:rRNA from 1 species